UGGGGAAUUUUGGACAAUGGGCGAAAGCCUGAUCCAGCAAUGCCGCGUGUGUGAAGAAGGCCUUCGGGUUGUAAAGCACUUUUGUCCGGAAAGAAAUGGCUCUGGUUAAUACCUGGGGUCGAUGACGGUACCGGAAGAAUAAGGACCGGCUAACUACGUGCCAGCAGCCGCGGUAAUACGUAGGGUCCAAGUGUUAAUCGGAAUUACUGGGCGUAAAGCGUGCGCAGGCGGUUGUGCAAGACCGAUGUGAAAUCCCCGAGCUUAACUUGGGAAUUGCAUUGGUGACUGCACGGCUAGAGUGUGUCAGAGGGGGGUAGAAUUCCACGUGUAGCAGUGAAAUGCGUAGAGAUGUGGAGGAAUACCGAUGGCGAAGGCAGCCCCCUGCGAUAACACUGACGCUCAUGCACGAAAGCGUGGGGAGCAAACAGG
rnacentral:rRNA from 1 species